UGGCUAAAAGAUAGUACAACUAUUUUUGAAUUAAAAGAAAUAGUAAAUUGAAAUAGCUUGAAGGGGACUCCAGAGACUGCAGACACCGACAGAUGUACCUUGUGUAUCCUGUGGAAUGAAGUCAACAGCAAGUCUCAAGAUCAUCUUGGACUGACACCAAAAUCUGCACAAGAAGUGCAGAGUGCAGUAAUAGUACAACCUAACCCAUGUAGUAAGUAUCAAGCCUAACCUCGGCGAAGUAGUGACGAGGCUAAGACAAGACAUACACAAAAUAUGGCAUGACCUCACCCUUUGUGCACCAACACUCACAAUAUGGCACGACAUCAUCCUUCGUGCAUUAUCACUCACAAAAUAUGGAACGUCAUCAUCCUUCAUACUUCUACAAUCUCCCUCACAAAAAAAGUAACAAUAAUAAUAGGGAGAUAGAAAUAAUAUUAACAAAUAAUAUUUCAACCUUUGAUUCCACAAAUAUCACCCUCAUCUUUGAGUCAAUACUCAAUCACUUCCAAAGUUCAUAAACAUGAUAGGAGUGCUCAACAUAACAAGUAGAUAGUCUAAACAAUUAUAAUAUAAUCAAAGAAAGCAAUAAUCACAUGAAUAGGAACCACUCGCAUGCUAUAACUUUACGACAAUUCAUAGGUACUCGUCAGCUCGCCUAUACAUAGUACAUAAUGUCACACCCCAUAUUUCCUCGCGGAGUUCGGGUUUUGACAUUUCUUUGGGGCAACUCCUUUCCUUUAGGGAAUUAGUUAUGGAAUUUGAGGAGUCGCCACCUAACGGAUUUAAGGUGCAUUAGGCCACCUAAAGCAAAUAACUCGUAAACUGAUUUGCAUAACCAGAGAUUAGGUAAGGGCUCAAAAUAAACAUGAG
rnacentral:lncRNA from 1 species